UACAGAGGUCCCAAGCGUUGUUCGGAAUUACUGGGCGUAAAGGGCUCGUAGGUGGCCAACUAAGUCAGACGUGAAAUCCCCAGGCUCAACUUGGGAACUGCGUCUGAUACUGGAUGGCUUGAAUUCGGGAGAGGGAUGCAGAAUUCCAGGUGUAGCGGUGAAAUGCGUAGAUAUCUGGAGGAAUACCGGUGGCGAAGGCGGCAUCCUGGACCGAGAUUGACACUGAAAAGCGAAAGCCAGGGGAGCAAACGGG
rnacentral:rRNA from 1 species